rnacentral:rRNA from 1 species
UGAGUAACACGUGAGUAACCUGCCCUUAACUUCGGGAUAAGCCUGGGAAACCGGGUCUAAUACCGGAUACGACGGACCACCGCAUGGCGGUCCGUGGAAAGCUUGAUGCGGUUUUGGAUGGACUCGCGGCCUAUCAGCUAGUUGGUUGGGGUAAUGGCCCACCAAGGCGACGACGGGUAGCCGGCCUGAGAGGGUGACCGGCCACACUGGGACUGAGACACGGCCCAGACUCCUACGGGAGGCAGCAGUGGGGAAUAUUGCACAAUGGGCGAAAGCCUGAUGCAGCGACGCCGCGUGAGGGACGAAGGCCUUCGGGUUGUAAACCUCUUUCAGCAGGGAAGAAGCGAAAGUGACGGUACCUGCAGAAGAAGCGCCGGCUAACUACGUGC